rnacentral:snoRNA from 1 species
UGGACCAGUGCAGAGAUUAAGUCAUGAGCCAAGGAUUAUGAUUAAUCCAAUGCUGUGCACCUGAGGUCCAAA